UACGGAGGGAGCUAGCGUUGUUCGGAAUUACUGGGCGUAAAGGGCUCGUAGGCGGCCAACUAAGUCACACGUGAAAUCCCCAGGCUUAACCUGGGAACUGCGUGUGAUACUGGAUGGCUUGAAUUCGGGAGAGGGAUGCAGAAUUCCAGGUGUAGCGGUGAAAUGCGUAGAUAUCUGGAGGAAUACCGGUGGCGAAGGCGGCAUCCUGGACCGACAUUGACGCUGAGGAGCGAAAGCUAGGGGAGCAAAC
rnacentral:rRNA from 1 species